rnacentral:lncRNA from 1 species
UUUUUUUUUUUUUUUAAGAUUUUAUUUAUUUAUUCACGAGAGACACACUCAGAGAGAGAAUGGCAGAGACACAGGCAGAGGGAGAAGCAGGCUCCAUGCAGGGAGCCUGACUCGGGACUCGAUCCCGGGUCUCCAGGAUCACGCCCUGGGCUGAAGGCGGUGCUAAACCACAGAGCCACCCAGACUCCCUGAACAUCUGACUCUUGAUCUUGGCGUCCUGAGUUAAAGCCCUGUGUUGGCCUCUAUGCUGGGCAUCGAGCCAAGAAAGAAAAAGAGAGAGAGAGAGAAAGAAAGAGAAAGAGAGAGAAAGAAAAUUAAACUUUUCCUUUAGAAAAACUAGUUAAAAAAUGCACAUUUCUGGCUCUAUCCAAAGAUAGGAUGUAUUGAGUCUUGGAUUUGAGAGAAGGAUCCUGUUCAUUCGUAAGACAUUAACCUUUGAAGGUUUUCUGAAUUUUGCCGGGCCAAGAUUCCCACUUUCACAGGCAGGGCUAUCUACAAAAAGGGGUAGAUUGCUUGGCCAGUCAUAACACGCACCAGCAGUGUCACCUUGGGCCAGAUGCUUAAUCACACUGACCUUGUUCCCUAAUCUGUAAUCUAGGGAAAACACACUUCUCUUACAGGGUUGUUGAGAGAAUUAAAUUGGAUACUCAAGUAACAGCAGAGUCUGUAAACACAAUAUUUUUCAAAAAUUGGUCCACAGACUCCACACGUCAGACACCUGGAAGCUUAAUGAAAUCUUGGGUCCCGCUCUAUAUCUGUAGACUAGAAUGGGGUCUGGAAACUGGCAUUUUUUAAAAAGGAUUUUAUUGAUUUAUGAGAGAGAGAGACAGAGACAGAGAGAGAGAGUGUGAGCAUGCAUGGGUGCAUAAGCAUGAGAAUGGGGAGGGGCAGAGAGAGAGAGGAGAAGCAGACUCCCCGCUGAGCAGGGAGCCUGAUGGGGGGCUCCAUCCCAGGACCCCGGGAUCAUGACCUGAGCUGACGGCAGAUAUUUAACUGACUGGGCCACCCAGGAGCCUCUGGAAAUUGGCAUUUUUAAUAAGCAUUUUAAACGAUCUUAUUAAAACACAAACCUGGCCAUGCUGCUCCCUGCUGCAGAGCACCCAGCCUCAACGCUCUGCCCUCCCAGUCUCUUCUCACUGCCCAAGUCUGCUCUGCCCAAACUGGUCUCUGAAUUCCCACCAGCCAUGGUUGUUUUGUUCACAUUUCAGCUUAAAUGUCACCUCCUCACGGGGUGGGGGGGGUCUCCCCAAUUGCCCAGUCAUUCCUAAUAACAUAAAUAUAUUUUAUUUCUCAGCCCAGAACCUAAUACCUGCUGAUAGUCCCUGCUUUAUGUGGUUAUCUCCUCCCACCAGAAAGUCAGAAUAGGUAGCUUGUGAGCUGCUUUAUCCACUGCCUAGCCUGGUGCCCGGCAUACAGUAGGGACUCAAUAAACGUAUCCUGAAUGGAUGAACACAUCAGUGAAUUACAGGCUGCACUGAUGCCAGCCUUGGCGAGGUUCUCAUACUGUAUGUGGGGGGCUGAUAGAAAAGUUCCAUUUCCUACCACACAACAGGGUGACCAUGAAGUAGAAUUUUCUUUGUGCAAUAUCUGUGGCUCAAGGGAAAGUGUUAAGUAUGAUUUCUGUAGACUGAUCCCAUUAUAAUAAAGAAAGCUGGCAUUUAAAUCAGUCCUAUAGCUUCCUAGUUGUUUGUAAAGUGAGGCACUUCUUUUUCUCCCCACACAACUGGAUUUCCCAUAAAUUUCACAUGGCACGUCCUUAAACCAGUUCGCUGUGCGUACUUUUUAUGAAUACCAAAAUCACCUCACUUAAAUGCUCCUACUUACUGAUAAAAGUAAAAGUAUUGUCUUUGGAACAAAAUAUCCCUUAACAACAAAACAGUCAGGUCCAGACAGUAUUAUAAAUCUAUUCAUGUUAUAACCGUUCUCAGCCCCUUUAGAAACCGUGGAACAAUGGAGCCCAUCCACAGGCUCUUGUGUGCCACUCUCUGGAAAAUGGACAGGCAUUCUGACCACAGAAAGUCUAGAGAAGAGGCUUUAUAAAGAAGGCUAUCCGAAUGCAUUUCUGCCCAACUUCAUUGUGUAGGGAAGGAUUUCAGAGACCCACAGGUAUAUUAAGAAUAAAAGAAACCUAUGAAUAGAUGGCAGUUCAAUUUUAGUAGUGGCCUCUCCUCUCCCACUAAUUCAGAAAAAUUUAUUCUAUACAAUUAGUUUCCCAGCAAAGACCCUGCCACCCAUCCUUCUCAUAAGGAAAAAGCAAAGUGAAAAUCUCCACCUCAGGACUUUUAAUUGGUCAUCCCAUGCGUGUCUUUCCGGCACUGAGUUUCAAACUAACAACAAAUGAUGGAGGAGGGCACAUGGUUUACAGAGAGUGACAGAAAGGAAAAAUGGAAAUAGUUGGUUGCAAGGCAGGAGGCCAGUGUUAUGAAAGGAAAAUAAGGCCCCUUGUGGCCAGACCCAUGAGGAGUUAAGUACAUACUCCACCUCAAUUGGUUUCUGACCUGCUGGGGGCACAUGGCCACCAGGAUUUACAGAUGGGAACACAGUCCAGUGGAGAGGAGUGUAGGUGGCACUUAGAGAAACCCAUUCCCUCAGCAGCUGAAACUAAAAAUAAACAAAGGGACAAGGGAGUGUUGCCAUCGUUUAAUCUCUUCUCAUCCUUUUUCAAACUUCCUUGCUCCUCCAUUCACAGUGGCUUGUUAACCUACAGCACCUAACAAGUAUCAUGCUCUCUAACCAGGAGGUUCUCAAUGAUGGGUGUAUUACCUGAUUGGGGGGCGGGGGGGGGGGGCAAGGGGGAGGCGCCUUUCAAACAGCACCAAGGUCUGAGGUACCUGGGGGGCUCAGUUGGUUGAGAGUCCAACUCUUGAUCUCAGCUCAGGUCUUGAUCUCAGGGUCAUGAGUUCAAGCCCCUUGUUGGACUCCACCCUUAAAAAAAAAAAAAAAAGACCCACCAAGGUCAAGACCCCUUAGGGCAUGUUAAUCAGAAUUACUGGGGGCAGGCCCUGGACAUCACUAAGUAUUACACCUCCCCAGGUAGUGCUCUUAUGCAGUGAACCACUGUUCUAAAGUUAUCUAGAGUGAAAGAGGGAGAAAGAUAAAGGUGAGACAGAUCAGAUGAUCUGCCCCAACAGAGGGGAAAAGUAAAACCAGAACCCAGGGAAGCGGGGGGACUUAAUGGGGAAGGGAAUGCAGCAGCGACAAUGUGAGGCCCCUGUGGGCUGUCAGUUCUUUGACAACAGGAAAUGUGGUAAUAAGAAAUGCUUGCAAACUCAGGAAGAUGCUUGGCAAGAAAAGACAGGUGCAAAACCAACGCGGGCCUAGUUUAGCUCUCUCAAGUUGGGAGACAGGAGAGAAGAUGAUACUUGCAAGGAGGCUGCAGCCAGACCAAGAGGUGGGUGUCAACCAAGACCCCAAGGAUGAAGUGUGCAGACAGGAAAGGUAAGGUACGGACUUCCACUGCCCGGUGGCAAUGAUGCAACAUCUCUUCACGUCAUUGGUUCACCUUCAGGUGAAAAUUUUGGUAUUACACUGAAGCAAUGAAGAACUUUAAAAAAGAGGUAAGAGCAGCUAUGUAACCCCUACUGCAUGCUUCCCAAUGCCUACAGAAACAUUCAAAAUUACCCUGUUCACUCAGCUGACUGCUAGAUCACAUUGAUCUUCAAGAAUUUAUUACUUGAUGAUGUUCUUGAGUUCUCAAAAGGCAAAGUUCUCUGAUGUCCCUAUAAACGUGCAGUUUUAGGGAUGUCUGGGUGGCUCAGUGGGUGAGCCUUUGGUUCAGGGAGUGAUCCUGGAGUCCCGGGAUUGAGUCCUGCGUGGAGCCUGCUUCUCCCUCUGCCUGUCUCUGCCUCCCCCCACUCUCUGUCUCUCAUGAAUAAAUAAAUAAAAUCUUUAAAAAUAAUAAUAAAAAUAAAUGCACAGUUUUCUCCCAAGGCUGGUAUAACACUACACUCUGUUUCUUUCCUCUAAUUCACAGAAAUUGGGUCCCCCUUGCUGAUAAAUGGGUCCCACAAUCUGUAUGGUCUGCCUAAGUAACAUUUCAUACUCAACAUGUAACAAGAGCAAAUUUUACACGAUGAUCAAAAUAUUCAUUCACGUUCAUAGCUACUUAGGAGUGCCAUGGAAAAAUCAGUUAAGCCCCAGUGCGAGGUACUUACAAUUUUCCGAGUACCACCACUGGAAUCUAGAAAUGAAUAAAGAUAU